rnacentral:miRNA from 1 species
GGUACGGGUACGGGUACGGGGCCGGGGCCGGGGCCGGGGCCGGGGCCGGGGCCGGGGCCGGGGCCGAGCCGCGGCCG